AUUGUAUUGAAACACAAUUUCUGUAUUGAAUACGUUACAAUACGUUAUUAAAAUUUUAGGAUAAAUUGGCGCCGAAGUUGAGAAAACACGACGAUAGAUACGUUCCACACCACGAGGAGAGCGAUAUACCCGAACAUGAAAUAGGCGAGAUCAAAUCCAAAGAGGCGAAGAGCAAAGAUACUAAUUCUACA
rnacentral:lncRNA from 13 species